GUCACGAAGAAGGUGCGAGGGAGGGGGCAGUCCCGAUCUGAAUCCCACCAAAAUAGGUGGUAGAGGACUGCCCUCCUUCCUUCCCUCACCUCUGACC
rnacentral:miRNA from 1 species